UGGAAUGUAGCUCAGUGGCAGAGCUCAUGUUUAGUAUUUAGAAACCCUGGAUUCAAGUCCUAGCAUUACAA
rnacentral:tRNA from 1 species